rnacentral:rRNA from 1 species
GUGUCAGCAGCCGCGGUAAUACGUAGGGUGCGAGCGUUAAUCGGAAUUACUGGGCGUAAAGCGUGCGCAGGCGGUUUUGUAAGCCAGAUGUGAAAUCCCCGGGCUCAACCUGGGAAUGGCAUUUGGGACUGCAAGGCUGGAGUGCGGCAGAGGAGACUGGAAUUCCCGGUGUAGCAGUGAAAUGCGUAGAUAUCGGGAGGAAUACCGAUGGCGAAGGCAGGUCUCUGGGCUGACACUGACGCUCAUGCACGAAAGCGUGGGGAGCAAACAGGAUUAGAAACCCUGGUAGUCC